UACAGAGGGUGCAAGCAUUAAUCGGAUUUAUUGGGCGUAAAGAGCGCGUAGGCGGGUUUUUAAGUCAGAUGUGAAAUCCCGGGGCUCAACCCCGGAACAGCAUUUGAAACUGAAAAUCUUGAGGGUAGUCGGAGAAAAUGGAAUUCCACGUGUAGCGGUGAAAUGCGUAGAUAUGUGGAAGAACACCGGUGGCGAAGGCGAUUUUCUAGAUUAUUCCUGACGCUGAUGCGCGAAAGUAAGGGGAUCAAACAGGAUUAGAUACCCUGGUAGUCCUUACCGUAAACUAUGUAUACUUGGUGUAACUGGACUUAAACCUAGUUGUGCCGAAGCUAACGCGAUAAGUAUACCGCCUGAGGAGUACGCUCGCAAGGGUG
rnacentral:rRNA from 1 species